GUUCCAAAGCGCUAUUGUGUCAGACUCAUCUCCCGCUGAAGAGGAUCCAGCGACAUCAAGAGAUUACGGAAAAUCACGCGAGAUAACUGGCUUGCACCUUGUUGGGUUUUUUCAAGGGCAGAGGGGAGAUUCCUGGCGUGCAUCCACUUAAUUUGAAGAAGAACAUCACCUGUCUGUAAUCCACCUGCGAUGACACUGCUGAGGGCAGAUGAGAGUGCAUCCUCAAAGGUCUGUGUGUACCUAAAUGAAGAUCCAGAGAAGCUGGUGAGGGAGUACAUGGACGUUGAUGAAUGAAAUGGCCAAAGCCGAGACUGUCCUCGGAAUCGUCAUUUGAGCAGAGGGUGCAGAGGCUGCCGAUGCACAUCUGGAUGUUGGGAUUGUCUUGGAGGAGGUGGAAGUUAUGAACAGCUUGGGCAGUGUAUCUUCUGCAAUAGUGAUGCUGCUGGGACUAAUCUACGCACUAAACUUGAGCUACCCUCAAGUUUACAUUUAUCGCCGCACCAUGUUAGGUACAUUCUGUGCGAAAAAAGUCUGCAGAGCCAUAUGUAGUGUACAAAGCUAAACUUGAGCUACCCUCAAGUUUAGUGCGUUCAGAACUCAACUUGCUCAGUAACUCAAGCAUACCUUUGAAGUAAUACAGAAAAUAAUAAUGAAAUUGGAUGGAAAGAACUUAUCAAAGAAAGCACAAGUUCUCAAUAUGAAACUCGCUGCUAAGUUAAGUUUCAUAUGGAAAAUGAGUGUUUAAAGUCUGCAGUAGAAAAGAUUUAUAUUGUUACAGUUCUCUAAGUUGAGCAACUAUACUGACAUGUUUUAUGUUGUAAAGAAUUGGCUGGGAAAUGAAACUGUAACCUUUUUGUAGUUGUUUUUUUAUUUCAAUGUCCAACUCAGCUGUGUUUUGUGCUGUGUAAAAAG